rfam:Canis lupus familiaris chromosome 37, whole genome shotgun sequence.
GCCUGAGUAGCUCAGUGGUUGAGCAUCUGCCUUUGGCUCAGGGCAUGAUCCUGGUCCUGGGAUUGAGUCCCACAUCAGGCU